AAGCAAGUGGGAAGCCUAAAAUAGCUGCCUGGUUUGACAGGGAUGGACAGGACAAGUUGGGAAGAAGCUGCAAAUUGGAUGCUUUCUUCCAAUGUAAACGGCAGCAUCGGAAGGAGAUUUUUAACUGGACGAGGGAAUCAGCAAAGGACAAGGAUCACCGCUUUCCCUGCCCCUCUACAAGAUCUUCAGAAACGGCCACGGAAGGACACACAGGCGGGGAAGAGAGACGCACACGGCCUCCUUCAGACAUUCAUCUGAUCCAGAGUUGUUAAU